rnacentral:rRNA from 1 species
AUUGAACGCUGGCGGCAGGCCUAGCACAUGCAAGUCGAGCGGUAGCACAGAGAGCUUGCUCUCGGGUGACGAGCGGCGGACGGGUGAGUAAUGUCUGAGAAACUGCCUGAUGGAGGGGGAUAACUACUGGAAACGGUAGCUAAUACCGCAUAACGUCGCAAGACCAAAGAGGGGGACCUUCGGGCCUCUUGCCAUCGGAUGUGCCCAGAUGGGAUUAGCUAGUAGGUGGGGUAACGGCUCACCUAGGCGACGAUCCCUAGCUGGUCUGAGAGGAUGACCAGCCACACUGGAACUGAGACACGGUCCAGACUCCUACGGGAGGCAGCAGUGGGGAAUAUUGCACAAUGGGCGCAAGCCUGAUGCAGCCAUGCCGCGUGUAUGAAGAAGGCCUUCGGGUUGUAAAGUACUUUCAGCGGGGAGGAAGGGAGUAAAGUUAAUACCUUUGCUCAUUGACGUUACCCGCAGAAGAAGCACCG